rnacentral:misc_RNA from 1 species
GUGGGAGGGGGCUUGCCCCCGAUGGCGGUGGGUCAGUCAGCUAUUCAUGACAUGACACACUGCUAUCGGGGGCAAGCCCCCUCCCAC